rnacentral:rRNA from 1 species
CCUGGCGGCCGUAGCGCGGUGGUCCCACCUGACCCCAUGCCGAACUCAGAAGUGAAACGCCGUAGCGCCGAUGGUAGUGUGGGGUCUUGCGCAGCAACGGCCCGUAGGGU